rnacentral:misc_RNA from 1 species
UACGUAGGGGGCAAGCGUUGUCCGGAAUUAUUGGGCGUAAAGCGCGCGCAGGCGGUUUCUUAAGUCUGAUGUGAAAGCCCCCGGCUCAACCGGGGAGGGCCAUUGGAAACUGGGAGACUUGAGUGCAGAAGAGGAAAGUGGAAUUCCAUGUGUAGCGGUGAAAUGCGUAGAGAUAUGGAGGUACACCAGUGGCGAAGGCGACUUUCUGGUCUGUAACUGACACUGAGGCGCGAAAGCGUGGGGAGCAAACAGG